AAUAAGCGCAACCAUGAGUUUUAUGUCUAACUUUGAUCGUCCGUUUUAUUUUAAAUUUUUUAUGAUUAGUAUUUUUAUUAGAUUAUAAAACACGAAUAGUAUUUUAUGUGUGACUUAUGUUCUUUAGUUUUUUCAAAAUUUUUUUAAAUAAAACGGAUGAUUAAAGUUGGACUCGGAAAUUCAUGGCUACGCUUAUU
rfam:Oryza glumipatula chromosome 4, whole genome shotgun sequence.